rnacentral:rRNA from 1 species
AUUGAACGCUAGCGGGAUGCUUUACACAUGCAAGUCGAACGAGUGGCGGACGGGUGAGUAAUAUAUCGGAACGUGCCCAGUGGCGGGGGAUAACUACUCGAAAGAGUGGCUAAUCCCGCAUAGCAUUGGUGUGGCCUAUAUCGGCUUUGCUAGUGGGUGGGGUAAAGGCUCACAAAGGCAACGACCCGUAGCUGGUGUGAGAGGACGACCAGCCACACGGGGACUGAGACACGGCCCAGACUCCUACGGGAGGCAGCAGUGGGGAAUUUUGGACAAUGGGGGAAACCCUGAUCCAGCCAUCCCGCGUGUAUGAGAAGGCCUUCGGGUUGUAAAGUACUUUUGGCAGAGAAGCGGUAUCUGCAGAAUAAGCACCGGCUAACUACGUGCCAGCAGCCGCGGUAAUUC